rnacentral:piRNA from 1 species
UGGCCGGGGCUCUAGAGGUGGCU